rnacentral:rRNA from 1 species
AUUGAACGCUGGCGGCAGGCCUAACACAUGCAAGUCGAGCGAGCGGCGGACGGGUGAGUAAUGUAUGGGGACUGCCCGAUAGAGGGGGAUAACUACUGGAAACGGUGGCUAAUACCGCAUACUAUCGGAAAACCCAUAUGGGAUUAGCUAGUAGGUGGGGUAAAGGCUAACCUAGGCGACGAUCUCUAGCCGGUCUGAGAGGAUGAUCAGCCAAACUGUGACUGAGACACGGCCCAGAAGCCUACGGAGGCAGCAGUGGGGAAUAUUGCCUAAUGGGCGCAAGCCUGAUGCAGCCAUGCCGCGUGUAUGAAGAAGGCCUUAGGGUUGUAAAGUACUGUCAGCGGGGAGGCGUUACCCGCAGAAGAAGCACCGGCUAACUCCGUGCCAGCAGCCGCGGUAAUAC